rnacentral:rRNA from 1 species
GAUGAACGCUGGCGGCGUGCCUAAUACAUGCAAGUCGAGCGAACAGAUAAGGAGCUUGCUCCUUUGACGUUAGCGGCGGACGGGUGAGUAACACGUGGGUCACCUACCUAUAAGACUGGGAUAACUUCGGGAAACCGGAGCUAAUACCGGAUAACAUUUGGAACCGCAUGGUUCUAAAGUGAAAGAUGGUUUUGCUAUCACUUAUAGAUGGACCCGCGCCGUAUUAGCUAGUUGGUAAGGUAACGGCUUACCAAGGCGACGAUACGUAGCCGACCUGAGAGGGUGAUCGGCCACACUGGAACUGAGACACGGUCCAGACUCCUACGGGAGGCAGCAGUAGGGAAUCUUGCGCAAUGGGCGAAAGCCUGACGGAGCAACGCCGCGUGAGUGAUGAAGGGUUUCGGCUCGUAAAACUCUGUUAUUAGGAAAGAACAAAUGUGUAAGUAACUGUGCACGUCUUGACGGUACCUAAUCAGAAAGCCACGGCUAACUACGUG